rnacentral:rRNA from 1 species
GAUGAACGCUGGCGGCGUGCCUAAUACAUGCAAGUCGAGCGAACAGACGAUGAUCUUGCUCCUUGGUCGUGAGCCGCGGGCGUGUGAGUAACACGUGUAUAACCUACCUAUAAUACUGGUAUAACUACGGGACACCGGAGCUAAUACCGUAGAAUAUCUUGAACCACAUGGUUCAAUGGUAAAAUUCGGUGUUUCUGUCUCUAAUAGCUGGAUCCGGGCCGGAUUAUCUAGUUGGUAAGGUAAUGGCUUACCACGGCAACGAUGCGUAGCCGAAGUCAGGGAGGGGUAGGCGACCCGGGAACGGGGACACGGACAAGAGGACUGAGGGAGGGAGCAGAAGGGAACCUUACGCAAUGGGCGAAAGCAUGACGGAGUAAGGCCGCGUGAGUGAUGAAGGUCUCGGGAUCGUAAAACUCUGUUAUGAGGGAAGAACAACUGUGUAAGUAAACAUGGAGGUAGUGACGGUACCUAAUAAGAAAGCACCGGCUAACUACGUG